AGUGAACGCUGGCGGUAGGCCCAACACAUGCAAGUCGAACGGCAGCACAGUAAGAGCUUGCUCUUACGGGUGGCGAGUGGCGGACGGGUGAGGAAUACAUCGGAAUCUACUUUUUCGUGGGGGAUAACGUAGGGAAACUUACGCUAAUACCGCAUACGACCUACGGGUGAAAGCAGGGGAUCUUCGGACCUUGCGCGAUUGAAUGAGCCGAUGUCGGAUUAGCUAGUUGGCGGGGUAAAGGCCCACCAAGGCGACGAUCCGUAGCUGGUCUGAGAGGAUGAUCAGCCACACUGGAACUGAGACACGGUCCAGACUCCUACGGGAGGCAGCAGUGGGGAAUAUUGGACAAUGGGCGCAAGCCUGAUCCAGCCAUACCGCGUGGGUGAAGAAGGCCUUCGGGUUGUAAAGCCCUUUUGUUGGGAAAGAAAAGCAGCAGGUUAAUACCCCGCUGUUCUGACGGUACCCAAAGAAAAAGCACCGGCUAACUUCGUG
rnacentral:rRNA from 1 species